rnacentral:rRNA from 1 species
UACGAAGGGGGCUAGCGUUGCUCGGAAUUACUGGGCGUAAAGCGCACGUAGGCGGUCUUUUAAGUCGGGGGUGAAAUCCUGGAGCUCAACUCCAGAACUGCCUUCGAUACUGGAAGACUCGAGUCCGGGAGAGGUGAGUGGAAUUCCUGGUGUAGCGGUGAAAUGCGCAGAUAUCAGGAAGAACACCCGUGGCUAAGGCGGCUCUCUAGUACGGUACUGACGCUGAGACGCGAAAGCGUGGGGAGCGAACAGG